rnacentral:tmRNA from 1 species
GGGGAUGUAAAGGUUUCGACGGGGGCUGUAAGCCUUGGUAAGCGAGCAGCGGCGCGGACCCGCUAUAAAAGCCGCAACUUUAAAAUUAAACGACAACAAAACUGUUGCGUACGCAGCCUAAUUAGGCUGCCGUCUUACCUGGGAGGACCACGGCCCGGGAUAAGGCGUCGAUGAGUGGUGCACGUGAAUGCUGGAACGCCUUUACCAGCAUCAUGACCUAAAGGCUACUGAACUCCGGAGCCUGCCUGUGGGCGCCGGAGAGAGGGAAUGACAAAACACAGGCUACGCUCGUAGAAAGCCUUGGUAAGCGGUUUUCGGACGCGGGUUCGAUUCCCGCCAUCUCCACCA